CAGCUCUUCUAGCUCUCUAGAAAAUUUGUACCUACACAAUAAGCUCAAACUCAGCUAGUAAACCCGGAAUUUCUUGAAUUGAAUUAGCCGAGGAAGAAAUUGCGUUUAAGUUUCAAUCAUGCUGGGAAAAAAUCCAUCUUUUCUACUUUGCUUGUUUGAUCAAUUGACUGAAAUGUGCAGAUCAUAACACUGGUGGACAAAUAAACAUUACAGUGGUCGAUCUAGGACUAGGUUUACACUAAAGGAGUUCCCGAAUUCAUCAAUUUUAGAGUAUUCGGAUUAGUAGAGGUUUACAGUGAAAGGAUAUUCGGACUCUUAAUCGUUUAUAGACGACGAUAACUCCGGGAACAUUCAUGAUGGAAUGGUUAACAAGCAGUUUGUUGCCUCGACAACGAGAAAUAAAAUGCCUCCGAAAAUAAGGCUAGGGGUAGGUUGAGACAGUCUUCAACUCGCUGACCACGGUACUGUUGUCCAUCAUGUGAGGUCCCUCCAGGUAUUUAUUCUGGUCUUUACUUAAUAUUUAGAACCGUCCAGGUUUUCGAUCGUGCCAUAUCGUCGUCAUUUGCGCAGUAAAGUAUAAAUCGGGUUUCUGAGGAGUAUGGCAUUACCCAUUAUAAAAGUGAUUACCUACACCUGAAACAGCACGAGGGAAUCACCCAGCGACCGCCAUCAAAUGGCCAUCAAUGUGCCUACGACUCAACUACGACUGGAUCAUGUAAUCCACCAUUUUCGUUCCACCGCAAACUCAAAA